GUUCUGCCCUGACGUUUCCUGGAAUAAUGCUGAGGACUGCCUGUCGGGUAGCUGCCUUAUUCAGUUCACUUCAUCUCGGAAACACCUGACCCCUGCCUUGGAUCCAGCGGCCCUCCUGAGAGCUGAGGAAGGAGGAAAUCCUAUGUGUCUGCUCCCAGAGCUGCCACAACCCAUCUUCCCACAACUCGGAACUUGGAAAAAGGAACCCAGGACACGACUUUGCUUUUCUUUUGGACCUAGUUGAUACAAGUUAACAGGAUAUGCUUCUGGCGUGUUUCUGGAUUCUAAGGGUAGAACCAGCAUGAAACUAGUCAGUCCAAGUAUUUCUAAAGAUCCACAGACACAGUUCUCCUAGAUUUGGGAAG
rnacentral:lncRNA from 1 species